AACGAACGCUGGCGGCAUGCCUAACACAUGCAAGUCGAACGAGACCUUCGGGUCUAGUGGCGCACGGGUGCGUAACGCGUGGGAACCUGCCCUUAGGUUCGGAAUAACUCCCCGAAAGGGGUGCUAAUACCGGAUAAUGUCUUCGGACCAAAGAUUUAUCGCCUUUGGAUGGGCCCGCGUUGGAUUAGCUAGUUGGUAGGGUAAAAGCCUACCAAGGCGACGAUCCAUAGCUGGUCUGAGAGGAUGAUCAGCCACACUGGGACUGAGACACGGCCCAGACUCCUACGGGAGGAAGCAGUGGGGAAUAUUGGACAAUGGGCGAAAGGCUGAUCCAGCAAUGCCGCGUGAGUGAUGAAGGCCGUAGGGUUGUAAAGCUCUUUUAACCGGGAUGAUAAUGACAGUACCGGGAGAAUAAGCUCCGGCUAACUCCGUG
rnacentral:rRNA from 1 species